GACGAACGCUGGCGGCGUGCCUAAUACAUGCAAGUAGAACGCUGAAGAGAGGAGCUUGCUCUUCUUGGAUGAGUUGCGAACGGGUGAGUAACGCGUAGGUAACCUGCCUUGUAGCGGGGGAUAACUAUUGGAAACGAUAGCUAAUACCGCAUAACAAUAGGUGACACAUGUCAUUUAUUUGAAAGGGGCAAUUGCUCCACUACAAGAUGGACCUGCGUUGUAUUAGCUAGUAGGUGAGGUAACGGCUCACCUAGGCGACGAUACAUAGCCGACCUGGGAGGGUGAUCGGCCACACUGGGACUGAGACACGGCCCAGACUCCUACGGGAGGCAGCAGUAGGGAAUCUUCGGCAAUGGGCGCAACCCUGACCGAGCAACGCCGCGUGAGUGAAGAAGGUUUUCGGAUCGUAAAGCUCUGUUGUAAGUCAAGAACGAGUGUGAGAGUGGAAAGUUCACACUGUGACGGUAGCUUACCAGAAAGCGACGGCUAACUACGUG
rnacentral:rRNA from 1 species